rnacentral:rRNA from 1 species
AUUGAACGCUGGCGGCAGGCCUAACACAUGCACGUCGAACGAGUGGCGGACGGGUGCGUGAUGUCUGGGAAACUACACGGUGGCGGCGGAUAACUACUGGCAACGGUAGCUAAUACCGUAUACAAUCGGAUUAUCCAAGAUGGGAUUUGCUAGUAGGUGGGGUAACGGCUCACCAGGGAGAAGCUCCCUAGCUGGUUUGAGAGGCUGACCAGACACACUGGAACUGAGAGACGGUCCAGACUCCUACGGGAGGCAGCAGUGGGGAAUAUUGCACAAUGGGCGCAAGCCUGAUGCAGCCAUGCCGCGUGUAUGAAGAAGGCCUUAGGGUUGUAAAGUACUUUCAGCGAGGAGGCGUUACUCGAAGAAGAAGCACCGGCUAACUCCGUGCCAGCAGCCGCGGUAAUUC